rnacentral:rRNA from 1 species
AACACAUGCAAGUCGAGGGGCAGCAUCAUCAAAGCUUGCUUUGAUGGAUGGCGACCGGCGCACGGGUGAGUAACACGUAUCCAACCUGCCGACAACACUGGGAUAGCCUUUCGAAAGAAAGAUUAAUACCGGAUGGCAUAGUUUUCCCGCAUGGGAUAAUUAUUAAAGAAUUUCGGUUGUCGAUGGGGAUGCGUUCCAUUAGGCAGUUGGCGGGGUAACGGCCCACCAAACCAACGAUGGAUAGGGGUUCUGAGAGGAAGGUCCCCCACAUUGGAACUGAGACACGGUCCAAACUCCUACGGGAGGCAGCAGUGAGGAAUAUUGGUCAAUGGACGAGAGUCUGAACCAGCCAAGUAGCGUGAAGGAUGACUGCCCUAUGGGUUGUAAACUUCUUUUAUACGGGAAUAAAGUUAGCCACGUGUGGCUUUUUGUAUGUACCGUAUGAAUAAGGAUCGGCUAACUCCGUGCCAGCAGCCGCGGUAAUACGGAGGAUCCGAGCGUUAUCCGGAUUUAUUGGGUUUAAAGGGAGCGUAGGCGGGUUGUUAAGUCAGUUGUGAAAGUUUGCGGCUCAACCGUAAAAUUGCAGUUGAUACUGGCGACCUUGAGUGCAACAGAGGUAGGCGGAAUUCGUGGUGUAGCGGUGAAAUGCUUAGAUAU